rnacentral:tRNA from 1 species
GCAGGGAUAGUGUAACGGCAACAUCACGCUCUCCAAAAGCGUUGUUCUAGGUUCAAAUCCUAGUCCCUGCG